rnacentral:rRNA from 1 species
UACGAAGGGGGCUAGCGUUGCUCGGAAUCACUGGGCGUAAAGGGUGCGUAGGCGGGUCUUUAAGUCAGGGGUGAAAUCCUGGAGCUCAACUCCAGAACUGCCUUUGAUACUGCGGGUCUGAGUCCGAUAGAGGGUCGUGGAAUUCCCAGUGUAGAGGUGAAAUUCGUAGAUAUUGGGAAGAACACCGGUGGCGAAGGCGGCGACCUGGUCCGAUACUGACGCUGAGGCGCGAAAGCGUGGGGAGCAAACAGG